AUGCUCGCGCUCACCUCCGCGGGAUACUGCGCGUAUCGCUGGCUGAAGAGGAGCAGCGAUCUUCAAGCUGCUGAACUUCAAGCUGCUCACGGAUCUGUUGUUGAUGAUGUGGAGGAAGCCGAGACCACCGAGGUCACUGAGAUAAAUAUCCAGCUCCGGAGCACCAGCCUUGACCCUCAGAAGUCGGCUGUCAUUCUGGUUGAAGGGGCUGCUGGAUAUAGCUAUUCUUGCAGUCAGACACUGAUCCAGUCUGAUCCAGUGAUCAUCAAACCUGAUCAGUCUCAUAAACUGACCUGCACAGCCUCUGGAUUAGACAUUGGAGGCUACUGGAUGGACUGGAUCAGACAGGCGCCUGGAAAAGGACUGGAAUGGGUUGCAACUAUAACAUCUGACAGUAGUAGCAAAUAUUACUCCAGCACUGUUAAGGGCCGCUUCACCAUCUCCAGAGACAACAAUUCUUAUGGACAGUCCUCAGCUUCUGUGGUGAAGAGACCUGGAGAGUCCAUCACUCUGUCCUGUACUGUCUCUGGAUUCUCAGUGGGAAGCAUAUUCACUCAGUCAUUGCAGGGCCAGUUCUCCAUCACUAAAGACACCAAUAAAAACAUGCUGUACCCUUGAAUAG